rnacentral:rRNA from 1 species
UUUUCGGGGUGGUCAGUUGGUUAUUAUAUCUCCACUAAUAAGCAGAGAGGGGUUAAACCUUUGAAGUGAGUUAUGUGGGUCAAGGUAUAAUGAUUAAUUGGAGUUCUAGUUCAUUUACUUUGAGAAAAUUAGAGUGUUUAAAGCAGCCUCUUGGGGCACUGAAUACAUUAGCAUGGGAUAAUAAAAUAGGAUCUUCACAAUAUAUUUUAUUGGUUUAAAUUGCGUAUGAAGAUAAUGAUUAAUAGGGACAGUUGGGGGUAUUCAUAUUGGGUGGUUAGCGGUGAAAUGCUCGGAUCCAUUCAAGAUGAACUAAAGCGAAAGCAUUUACCAAGGAUGUUUUCAUUAAUCAAGAACGAAAGUUAAGGGAUCGAAGACGAUUAGAUACCGUCGUAGUCUUAACUAUAAACUAUGCCGACCAGGGAUAUGAGUUGUUAGGAAUAUAUGAAAAUAUAUUCAAUUUCUUCUUAUGGACCUUGUGAGAAAUCAUAAGUUUUUGGGUUCUGGGGGGAGUAUGGUCGCAAGGCUGAAACUUAUAGGAAUUGACGGAGG